GCCCCUCCCCCACGCGCCCCUCCCCCACGCCGCCGUCCGGCCGCCAGGGUCUCCGCGGUCCCUCGCUCGGCCAGGGAGGGGGCCCUGGCUUCGCCUUGGCCGUUUCCUGCCUACCCCCUCCCCGCCGAGGGUAAAAAAAAACCCUCCUCCUCCUCCUCCCCCGAAAGCCGCGACCGAGUGGCCCGGUCCGCGCGCGCAGCUCGCGCCCAGCGCUCUCCAGCCGGGGUGGCGGCGGCGGCGGCGGUGGCGGCGGUGGCGGCGGCGGCGGCGGGGGAGGGGUGCGGCGGGGGAGGGGAGGAGGCCUGGCCCCGCGGUCGCAGCAGCCACCGCCCGCCCCGACCGCCCGGACCGCCGCGGGGCCACGGGCCCGAGCCCCGGAUUCGCGCUCCGGAUUCGCCUCGGCUCGGCCGCGCGUAUAUUUGCCUUCCCUCCAUGAUCUCCAACGCUAUCCGAUAAAGUAGAAGCAACUGAGGUACCGUGAAAGAGAAAGGAGCUGGAACUGAGAAAAAGCAGAGGAUUCGGACGGAGAGCGCGAUGACUCGGCGGCUGCGCGCGCCCGGCAGCAGCUAGAGGCGCUGCUCAACAAAACUAUGCGCAUUCGCAUGACAGAUGGACGGACACUGGUCGGCUGCUUCCUCUGCACUGACCGUGACUGCAAUGUCAUCCUGGGCUCGGCGCAGGAGUUCCUCAAGCCGUCGGAUUCCUUCUCUGCCGGGGAGCCCCGUGUGCUGGGCCUGGCCAUGGUACCCGGACACCACAUCGUUUCCAUUGAGGUGCAGAGGGAGAGUCUGACCGGGCCUCCAUAUCUCUGACCACGGUGGCGCAUACCUUUCAGACUUCAUUAAACUUACGACCGAA